CCAACAACCAUCGUUGACGGGCCCGACAUUUACUGCUUAACACUGAGCGAGUGAAAAUGGCUGCCAUGCUCGCUAAGUCUGUCGCCAUUUGCCUCGUUUUAGGCAUCUUGAGCAGCCCAAAGACAGUUCAAGGCUGGAAAUCCAAGUGGUGCAGAACGGAUGCUCACUGCUCGCGAUAUGCUCCCUACUGCGGGGAGGGCAAAUGUCGCCCGGUGACAAAAUUCUGCAGAUCGGACGAAAAGGGUGUGGCUGCGUGUAACGCAUGCCACUGCGAGGGCCAUCACUGGAGCUGUACGGAAAUUGGCUGCGCGAAAAAUUUCAACCAUGAUGGAGCAGUACCGUGUCGGCUGGCAAGGGACCUGUCGGGAUGCCGCCAUUGAUCCUCAUUACCGCUUCGGCAACUACAACUGGAAUUGCAAGACAACAGCCAAAGCUUUCGGAAGCAACUUCAAAAUCGUUCAUGCGCUCUCUUAUUUUCGAGGACUA